rnacentral:rRNA from 1 species
GAUCAUGGCUCAGGAUGAACGCUAGCGACAGGCUUAACACAUGCAAGUCGAGGGGCAGCAUGAACUUAGCUUGCUAAGUUUGAUGGCGACCGGCGCACGGGUGAGUAACGCGUAUGCAACUUGCCUAUCAGAGGAGAAUAGCUAAUCGAACGAUGAAUUAAUGCUCCAUGAAACAGGGGUCCCGCAUGGGAAUAUUUGUUAAAGAUUCAUCGCUGAUAG